ACGAUUCCCUCAGGACACACGAUGAUUUUUCCAGGAGUCUGUGGGCCUCAUCAAUGACCACGCAACGCCAUGGAAUGUUACGCAGCUCCGGGCAGUCAGUCAAGAUCAUCUCAAAUGUUGUGAUAAUGGCAUGGAACUUGUAGGACCCCUUUAUCACACGACCCUAAGAAGAACAGCAAGAGUUAAGAAAUCUGAGGUAAUCCUAUGCUGAUGACACGUUCAUAGCUAAAUAGCUUCUCAGCAAGGAAGAAAAUCAUGCAGGCAAGAAAAUAGUCUUAAGCCAACACCCACUGAGCCCCAAAGGAAUGAACCAGGCCAUUGAUAAAAGUGUUAUAUAGCUCAUGGACACAAACCAAUCCCUGAAGAAUUACGCUGGAAAUGCAAAUAAUUUCUCAUUUACAAUUACAUCAAGAAGUAUCAGUUAGCCAGUUUUAAAUCCACUUAAUGUGUGCCAUAUUGAUUUUAUAUCAUCCCAGUUUAUUAAUCAAAAUAUCCAGUGGCAUAAAAUCAAAUGCUUUACAGAAAAUCUAAAUGUAUGAAUUCACCACUAUCACUUCUUUUGGCUCAGCUGGAAAUAAUACUCCAUAUACAUCAAAUCAAGUUGAACUUCCAUUCUUUUUUUCUUUUAAGUGAGGAUGAUUAUGUUGCUUUACAAUAAACACUCAAUGCAUGCACAUUAUUUUUCCCUGAUUACUGAUGCUCUGGGCAAAGCCAUGCAUUUAAGUGUAAAGAUCUGUUGCUCUGAAUAGCUUCAGCUUUCAUAUAAUUAUCUGGUUUUAACCCCAAUCUUUUCUGUACCUGCUUUCCUUUUCUCAUUAGAACUAUUCAACCUGAGCACCGUAACACAGAUGCAAAAUAUAUCUGACUUGUAAAAUCUGAUACAGAAGCAUCGACAAGUUUAAUUUCUGCAAGCUGGUCUUUUCCUGGAACGGUAGCAAAAGAUUGAUUUUUAAGCUUAGUUACAAUUAAAGUAGUUUCUCCAUUAAGAAUCUUCUAUGCCAGCUUUCCUCAGCAAUGUGAAAUAAUAAAAACCUUGCAUGAAACAAUGAAACCUCAAUCAAGAGUUGCACUAUCUUGGUAACUCUUGGUCCCCCCUCUAUUUUCAGCUAAUCUCUUGGCUACUAUUAAAAAGCACUCUCUCUAUUAAUAUAAGCACUCUCUUUAUUAAUAUAUGAUUUCUUUAUUAGCUAAAACUUACUACAUAUGUUCUGAAAACCUUACUGCUACUUAGGUUAGUAAACAACAGUAAAGCCAAAAAGAAAAAUUAAGA